rnacentral:rRNA from 1 species
UUCCGGUUGAUCCUGCCGGAGGCUACUGCUAUCGGGGCUCGAUUAAGCCAUGCGAGUUAAAUGUUCUUCGUGAACAUAGCGAACUGCUCAGUAACACGUGGAUAACCUACCCUUAGGACCGGAAUAACCCCGGGAAACUGGGGAUAAUACCGGAUAAGCCAUAGACGCUGGAAUGCCCUAUGGUUCAAAGCUCCGGCGCCUAAGGAUGGAUCUGCGGUCUAUCAGGUUGUAGUGGGUGUAACGUACCUACUAGCCGACGACGGAUACGGGUUGUGAGAGCAAGAGCCCGGAGAUGGAUUCUGAGACACGAAUCCAGGCCCUACGGGGUGCAGCAGGCGCGAACACUUUACAAUGCGGGAAACCGCGAUAAGGGAACCCCGAGUGCCAGCAUCAAAUGUUGGCUGUCCAGAUGAUUAAAAAUCAUUUGUUAGCAAGGGCCGGGCAAGACCGGUGCCAGCCGCCGCGGUAACACCGGCGGCCCGAGUGGUAGCCGUUUUUAUUGGGUCUAAAGGGUCCGUAGCCGGCUUGAUAAGUCCUUUGGGAAAUCUGGCAACUUAACUGUCAGGCUUCUAAGGGAUACUGUCAGGCUUGGGACCGGAAGAGGUAAGGGGUACUCCAGGGGUAGGAGUGAAAUCUUGUAAUCCCUGGGGGACCAUCUGUGGCGAAGGCGCCUUACCAGAACGGGUCCGACGGUGAGGGACGAAAGCUAGGGGAGCAAACCGGAUUAGAUACCCGGGUAGUCCUAGCUGUAAACGAUGCUCGCUAGGUGUCAGACACGGUGCGACCGUGUUUGGUGCCGCAGGGAAGCCGUUAAGCGAGCCACCUGGGAAGUACGGUCGCAAGGCUGAAACUUAAAGGAAUUGGCGGGGGAGCACUACAACGGGUGGAGCCUGCGGUUUAAUUGGAUUCAACGCCGGA